UAUAAUUGAUAGCUCUUAAAUAAUAACAAAAUUAGCUUUCUUGCACCAAAAUAGAUGAAUAAUGUUUGAAUCAUCUUUCGUCUAUCUCUAUUAUUUAUUAAGAUAUAGCGUCUUAAAAAAUACUUUUCGCCAGGUCCGUGGAUGCGCGCGCAAUUUUUGGUCUAACAGAUCUGUCAAAAAGUUUGUAUUUUUUAAGACGCGCUAUCUUAAUGAAUAAUAGAGAUAGACGAAAGAUGAAUCAGGCAUUAUUUAUUUUUCUUGUAAUUUAAGUUUAAGCAAUUAAAUUGUUUGUAACAA